CUACGUGCCAGCAGCCGCGGUAAUACGUAGGGGGCAAGCGUUAUCCGGAUUUACUGGGUGUAAAGGGAGCGUAGACGGCAUAGCAAGUCUGAAGUGAAAUACCCGGGCUCAACCUGGGAACUGCUUUGGAAACUGUUAAGCUGGAGUGCUGGAGAGGCAAGCGGAAUUCCUAGUGUAGCGGUGAAAUGCGUAGAUAUUAGGAGGAACACCAGUGGCGAAGGCGGCUUGCUGGACAGUAACUGACGUUGAGGCUCGAAAGCGUGGGGAGCA
rnacentral:rRNA from 1 species